UACGUAGGGUGCGAGCGUUAAUCGGAAUUACUGGGCGUAAAGCGUGCGCAGGCGGUUCGUUAUGUCCGAUGUGAAAGCCCCGAGCUCAACUUGGGAAUGGCAUUGGAAACUGGCGGGCUGGAGUGUGGCAGAGGGGGGUGGAAUUCCACGUGUAGCAGUGAAAUGCGUAGAGAUGUGGAGGAACACCGAUGGCGAAGGCAGCCCCCCUGGGCCAACACUGACGCUCAGGCACGAAAGCGUGGGGAGCGAACAGG
rnacentral:rRNA from 1 species